GCUGCAGCCAUAUUUCUUCCUCUCCCGGGGCUGGAAGCUUCUUUAUUGAAGAUCUCUCUGCACUUGGGGUUCUUUCUAGAACAUUUUCUAGUUCCCCAACACCUCUUAUGGCGUAUUUCUUUAGAAAAAAUCACCUAAAUUCCAUAAAAUAUUUAAAAAAUUCUAUACUUUAACCAAGUGUUUUCUUGACACGUCCUCCAUAUUUUUUUGAAAGCAUUUGGAAUAUUUUGAGGCAAUUUUUAAUAUUUAAGGAAUUUUUCUUUGGGAUCAUUUUUGGUUGACAUCUUUGUUUUUUGUGGGUCAAUUUUCUAUUCUUCCACUCUUUUCUAUAUUUUGCCCAUCGGGGCUGCGGAUACCUGGUCUUAUUUUUUCUUUGCCCAACGGGGCCGUGGAUACCUGCCUUUUAAUUCUUUUUUUAUUUGCCCAUCGGGGCCGCGGAUACCUGCUUUUUAUUAUUUUUUUUCCUUAGCCCAUCGGGGCAUCGGAUACCUGCUGAUUCCCUUCCCCUCUGACCCCCCAACACUCUGGCCCAUCGGGGUGACGGAUAUCUGCUUUUUAAAAAUUUUCUUUCUUUGGCCCAUCGGGGCUUCGGAUACCUGCUUUUAUUUUUUAUUUUUCCUUGCUCAUCGGGGCCUCGGAUACCUGCUUUAAUUUUUUUUCUGGCCCAUCGGGGCCGCGGAUACCUGCUUUGAUUUUUUUUUUUUUUGAUCGCUCAUCGGUACUUUUUAUGGAUGAAAAAAUGUUGGUUUUGUGGGUUGUUGCACUCUCUGGAAUAACUUCACUUUUUUUUGCUGCUGAUCAUUUGGUGGUGUGUGAGUGUAUCUACGCCUUUGACAGGGGAAUGACUCUGCAGUUAAGUUAAGGGCGUGUUCAGGUUGUGGAGGAAAAGUGGCCGCCAUUUUAGACUUGCCGCAUAACUCGGGUUAGGGCUAGUUGUUUGUGCUAAUUAUAAACUAGGGAGGCAAGAUGGAUGAUAGCUGGUUAGGCAGAGGAAGUCAUGUGCCUUGCAUGAGCUAAACCUAUCUGAAUGAGGAUUUGGGGCUUUUUAGGAGCUUUGCGUGAUUGUCGUAUCGCGAGGCAAUACGACAGAAUCGUCCUGUAUCAAUACAAGGCACUAGUUGAAAAUGAGAGAUUCGAAAAGACUAAGGUGCAGGGCUUAAAAUGGCGAUUUUGACAUUGCGGCAUUACUCAGCAUGGCGGGCUGUGCUUUGUUAGAUUGUCUAAAAUGGCGGAUCCAGUUCUGUCGCAGCAUUCAAGUGGCGGGAGGCCACAUCAUGAUGGGCGAGGCUUUGUUACAGUGGUUAGUAUGGUGGUGAACAUGUGCGGUCAUACAGCAAAAAAUGGCGGCUGAAGGUCUUGCCGCAGUGUAAAACAUGGCGGGCCUCUUUGUCUUUGCUGUGUGCUUUUAGUGUUGGGUUUUGCUGCAGGGACAAUAUGGCAGACGUUGUCAUCUGCAUAUUAUGGCUCUUGUCACGUGGAUAUCAUGGCGGGCUUUUGCUCGGUGCAAUCAUGGCGGGCUUGCCGCAUUGUUAAAGAUGGCGGUGUUUGCCGCCUAGCGCUGCUCCGAGCGGGAGAAAAGAUGGGGUGGACAGUGCUGGAUUGCCACAUAACCCAACCAAUUAGAAAUGGGGGUGGAGUUGGUCACAGCCAAUUAGAGCAGAAGAUGGAAUUAGACUGAUGACACUGUCUGGCUACUCAGGGAGUACUUGGGUAAAUUAGCAUAGCACUUCGCAGAUGUCUUUAGCCAGUCAGAAGUGGAGGGGCCACGUGUAUGUCUCCCAGGGGGCGGUACAUAAGGUAUUUUCAAGGUCUUUUCAAGGACAUUUGGCCUUUUCACCUUUGUCUUCUUUCAUUUGUCCCCUCCUGUCCAGUAUUGCGUCUUGCAGUGCUGGUUAUAUGGCUGUGUGGUCAGAACCUCACUCCAUUCCUCUGUAUUGGUGUCUUGUCUAAGACUAAGUCUAUUUGCCCCCAACCCCCACCCCCCAUCCCCCACUGCCCCACCCCCUCUGGUCUGCCCUGCACUGUGGCCAUUGGCAGUGCUCCAGGCCUGCUUGGUGUGGACAUGGUGGUGAGCCGUGGCAAGGACCAGAAUGGAUCGCAGAUGAUCGUUGGCCAACAGGUGGCAGAAGAGGAAUUCCUACCUUCCUCAAGAGGAACACACCUACCCCUUGGCUAAUGCUGGGGUCGGAUUUUGAUUUAUAUAUAUCUUUUGGUUGUCAGUCAUACAGUCUGAUUGUGUGGUUUGCUAGUUUGAAUUUAAGUGUUAAGUGACUAUUAUAGGAAUGUAUUAUGAGGCUUUAUUUGUAGAAUUCAUUUUAAUGACAUUUAAUGUUUUCAUUUGCGUUCCUCAAAAUUCUUUAAAGUUUUCAGUUUCUCUUUAGAAAUUCCUUAACCUUUUUUUGGCAGUAGUCAAAGUCAAAUCAUUUAUAAUUUUAAAAAAUUAAUGAUUUUUUUCUUUGAAAUUGACUUUACUUCCCUUUGGAUUUUGAAGAGUUUUCUAGCACAGAAACAGUUAAAAAUUUAACUUCAUGACCUAAUGUAAUAAAGAGUGUCUGAAGGUUUACACAGGUCCAGGCCUUGCUUUGUUCUCAUCCUUGAUGCUGCACUAAUUGACUAAUCACCUACUUAUCAGGCAGGAGACUUGAAUUGCUGUGGUCUGGUGUUCUCUAUUCAGACUUAUUAUAUUGGAGUAUUAACGCCCAUAUUUCAAUUUUCUAUUGUAUCCUGCCUGCCUAGUUUCCAGUUCUUCCCCAGCCCUCCCAGCAAACCCCCAGUCUAGCCCUAGCACUUCUCUCCCCACCCAGCUCUGCCCCAGCCCCAGUCCCCUGGUGCCCCGGCCCUAGCCCCAGUCCUAGCCCUAGCCCCUCAGUCCCCCAGUCCUGCCCAGCUUCUCUCGAAAGUCACUCUAAUUUUCAAAAUAAGUCGUCCAUUGUUUAUCCUAUUACACUGGGAUAUUCUGUUUACCCCUGGCAUUGCUGAACUUCUGUAUUGACUCCUUGACCAUUUUCAGUUAAUGCAUACAAUCCCAUUUGUCUGGGGUCUCAGAACAAAGAAUUUCUUUAGCCAGUAUGUUGAGGUUAGGGAAUAUUAAUUGAGAGCUUUCUAUCAGAGCAUUAUUGCCCAUAAUUUGAGUAACUUACUGUUUUCUCAAUCCCCUAUCCUUAAAGGAGAAACCAUUUCUCUGUCAUUGCUUCUGUAGUCAUAGUCCCAAUUUUGAGUAGUGGCUUUUUCUCACAUACUGUGUUGGCCACCUGGAACUGUGUGCAAUGAGUAAAAUUCUAAUUGCUGGUAAUCCUGCCCAUUGGAUUAGACAGCACUCAACCCCAUUUGCAUUCAGCAGGGGGUCUCAGACAACCCAAGUCUUUUGUUGGACAGUUAAAAUGCUCAGUCCCAAUUGUCAUAGCUUUGACUAUUAAACAAAGGCACCCUACUGCGCUUUUUGCUGUGCUUCUGGGAAAUCCUGCAGUUAUUGGAUAAUUAAAGAACAAAGUAGUAAUUGUUAAUUGUCUCACCCAUUAAUUAUAAAGACUUCCAAUCACCUUUGCAUUUGCCUUGAGGCAGUGCUGACUACCUGAGAUUUAACAGUUUCUUAAAUUACUGAGUAAACUAUUUAUCCAUAGUUCUGUUAGUUACACUAAGGCCUCUGCAAACAACUUUGCACAACAGCAGAGGGACUCAGUCUUAGAGCCCCUUCCCUUGGCCUGUUAAUGGAUACAAUAGUAAUUAUUCAUGGCUCUGCCUAACAGAAAAGACCCACUUAUGUAUGCCCUUAACAUUACUCCUAGUUAGUGUGAACUACCUACCACUUUGCAUUAAUAUGUAAAAGAUUAGGUUGUCCUCUCUGCCAUUGCUGCUGAGUUCUGACUACCCAAGUUUCUUUCUCUUAAACAGUUGAUCCCUGGUGGUCUAGUGGUUAGGAUUCGGCACUCUCACCGCCUUGCCCGGGUUCAAAAAGAAAAAAAAAACCAGUUGGUACGCAUAAUUGCAUAUAUCCAUGGUUCUGUGCAAUAAAAAUGGAUUCCCAUCGCAUCCUCUGGGAUGUUGCUAAUGAGUGCAGAUCAUUCAAUAAUAGCUCUUGGACAGUUAAUUGCUGAGUUACAAUUGUCCAGAGUCCUGUCCAUUAGAAAGGGCCACUGUGUCCUAUUUGCACACUACAAUGUGGGCUGAUCACCUAAGGACUCUUCUUAUGCAUUGAUGUUCAUAAUUGUAUCUGUCCACGAUCCUGUGCGCUAACCCUUCCACUCCCUUUGUAUUCCAGCAGGGGACCCUUAGUACACAAGACCUCUAUACGAGGACCAUUUAUAUGCACAAUCCUAAUUGAUUAGAAGUGAGUCCUUUAUAUCAAGGCCCCUGUACGAUCUUUGCUUUACAUCAAGAGGGUCCUGAUUACCUAAUGCCCCUCCUGCAGAAAUUAUUGAUGUGCAAAAUGCAGUUGUCCCUAUCUUGUAUUAGUCUGGGAUCUCAUCCCCUCAUAUUCCUUUUGUCUUACAGCAGGGGGUACUUGAGACUGUUAAUGUGCAUAAUUGCAAUUAUGGUCUCUUCCAUUAAAUUAAGAUCCCAACAGCUCACACCCUCUUAGCAUUAGAGGGUGCUAAUCACAAGGACAUUUCUUUAAUAUUCUCAAUGUUCUACUUGGAUUUGUCCUUCUUUCUGUGCACUAAAGACCCCAGUCACUUCUUGUGUUCAGCAGUGGAUGACCUCUACUGAAGACCUCUGCACUAGGAUAAUUAAUGUGAACCAUGACAAUUGUUCACAGCAAUGUCUUUCAGAUCAGAUCCAUUGUACCCUCCUUGUUUUACAGCAAGGGGUAUUAAUUACCUAUGUUACAUUUCCCUGGGACUGUGAAUGUGCAAAAUUCCAAUGUUCAUGGUCUCUCCCUUUAAACCAAUAUUCUACCCCUUUUACAUUAUAGAAAGGGAUGCUAGCAACCCAAAGUCUUUCUCUUGGGACUCUUAAUGUGUAUACUUCUAAUUGUCCAUGACUCUUCAUGUGCAUACUUUCAAUUGUCUGUGGUCCCUCCCAAUAAGCUAAUAUCUUGACUUCUCAGUAUCUUAGCAGGGGUUACUGAUUGCCUAAAGCCUUUCUUGAACUUUUAAUGUGCAAAAUUGCCCUGAGGCUUGGUGUGGUGGCUCACAGCCUUAAUCCCUGCACUUCAGGAGGCUAAGGUGGGAGGAUGCCCUAAGGCCAGAAGUUUGAGACCAGCCUGGCCAACAUUUAAAAAAAAAUAAAAAGCAAAACAAUUGCUCUGGAAUUCCAUCCUCCUCCCACCUCCUUGGCAAAGCAGCAGGAGUGCUAACUAGCUAGUGCUGCUUCUCCUAUACUGCUUAAAUGCACAUAAUUAACAGUAGUUGAUGUGCCCCUGUGUUAGAGUAGAAUCCUGGGUCCUUGCUCCAUUUGCAUUACUGCAGGAGCUUCUAAAUAACCUGAAUUCACUCUCUUGUACCGUUAAUGUGCAUACUUAUAUUUGCUCUUGUACCUUUUUACCAUGUAAGGACCCCACCCACUCUACAUUCCAGUAGAAAGUACCUACUACUUAGGAUCCUUGGAUUAGUAAAGUUAGCAUGCAUAAUCUUAGUUGUUAUAUGCACAUUUUCAGUUGUCUACAGCUGUGCCUUUUAUCAGGACUCCUGUACUUAUCAAAGCAGAGAGUGGUAACCAACAUUAAGCCCUUCUCUUCGGACUGUAGAUGCAUAUAAUUGCAGUUGUCAAUGGUCCUUCAAUUAGACUUGGGUUUCUGACCUUUCACACCCUCUUUGCUUUACUACCUGGGGUACUAUUACUUAAGGCCCCUUUCUCAAACUGUUAAUGUGCCUAAUGACGAUUACUUUAGGAUCCUUCCUUUUGACACUCCUUUGGAAGGACAGCAUGGUUGGUGAUAUCUAAGACCCCAUUUCUUGGCCUCCAAUAUGUAUGAUUGUAUUUGUCCAGGUUGCUAUGCACUGGAGAAGGAAAGUCCUCCCCUCAUCCCCAUUUUUUCUUUCUAGCAGGAAGUACCCACCCAUAAGACCCUUUUAUUUGGAGAGUCUAGGUGCACAAUUGUAAGUGACCACAAACAUGCCUCUUGGACAUUAAUAUGUGUAAUCGUGCACUGCUCAUUCCAUGUGAAAUAGGUCCUACUCUUAGACCACUUUUGCAGUACAGAAGGGGUGCUGAUAACCAAGUCCCCUUUUCUUGGCCUGUUAUGUGUGAUUAUAAUUGUCUGGGUUCCUAUGAACUAGAAAAGGAGGGUCCUCUCCACAAACCUCAGCAGGGAGUGCCCACUCCCUAAGACCCUCACAUUCUGACAGUCAAGGUGCAUGAUUAUUAAGUGAAUACAACCAUGCACCUUAGGCAUGGAUGGGCAUAACUACACACAGCUCAUCACAGCUGAAUAAAAUCCUACUCUCAGACCCCUUUUGCAGUACAGCUGGGGUGCUGAUCACCAUGGCCCCUUUUCCUGGCCUGGUAUGUGUGUGAUUAUAUUUGUCCUGGUUCCUGUGUAUUAGAUGUGGAAACCUCCCUUGCCACACCCCACCCCCAAUCUCUCUUUCCCUUCUAGCAGGGAGUGCCUGCUCCAUAAGACCCUUACAUUUGGACAGUUAAGGUGCACAAUUGUAAGUGACCACAGCCAUGCACUUGAACAAUUAAUGUGUGUAACUGCACAUGGCCCAUCUCAUCUGAAUAAGGUCCUCCUCUCAGACUCCGUUUGCGGUACAGCAGGGGUGCUGAUCACCAAGGCCCUUUUUCCUGGCCUGUUAUGUGUGUGAUUAUAUUUGUCCCGGUUCCUGUGUAAUACACAUGGAAACCUCCCCUGCCACACCCUACCCACAAUCUUCUUUUCCCUUACAGCAGGGAGUACCUGCUCCAUAAGAUCCUUAUGUUCUGACAAUCAAGAUGCACAAUUGUUAAGUGACUGCAGGCAUGUACCUUGGACAUUGAUGUGCGUGACUGCACAUGGCCCAUCUCAUCUGAAUAAGGUCCUACUCUCAGACCCCUUUUGCAGUACAGCAGGGGUGCUGAUCACCAAGGCCCCUUUUCCUGGCCUGUUAUGUGUGUGAUUAUAUUUGUCUCAGUUCCUGUGUAAUAGACAUGGAAGCCUCCCCUGCCACACACCAUUCCCAGUUUUCCUUUCCCUUCCAGCAGGGAGUACCUGUUCCGUAAGACCCUUACAUUUGGAUAAUCAAGGUGCACAAUUGUAAAUGACCACAGGCAUGCACCUUGGACAUUAAUGUGCAUGACUGCACAUGGCCCAUUCCAUGUAAAUAAGGUCCUACUCUCAGACCCCUUUUGCAGUACAGCAGGAGUGCUGAUCACCAAGGCCUCUUUUCCUGCCCUGUUAUAUGGGUGAUUGUAUUAGUCUGGGUUCCUGUGUAUUAGAAAAGGAAGCCUUUCCUGCCUCACCCCCACUCCCAGUCUUCCUUUCCUCUGCAGCAGGGAGUGACCACUCCAUAAGACCCAUGCAUUUGGACAAUCAAAGUGCACAAUUGUAAGUGAGCACAGCCAUGCACCUUGGACAUUGAUGUGCAUAACUGCACAUGGCCCAUCCCAUCUGAAUAAAGCCCUACUCUCAGACCCCUUUGUGGUACAGCAAGGGUGCUGAACACCAAGGCCCUUUUGUUUGGCCUGAUAUGUGUGUAAUUAUAUUUGUCCCAGUUCCUGUGUAAAAGACAUGGAAGCAUCCCCUGCCACACCCCACCCACAAUCUUCCUUUCCCUUCUGGCAGGGAGUGCCCACUCCAUAAGACCCAUGCAUUUGGACAGUCAAGGUGCACAAUUGUAAGUGACCACAGCCAUGCACCUUGGACAUUGAUGUGCAUAACUGCACAUUGCCCAUCCCAUCUGAAUAAAGUCCUACUCUUAGACCCCUUUUGCUGUACAGCAGGGGUGCUGGUCACCAAGGCUCUUUUUCCUGGCCUGUUAUGUGUUGAUUAUAUUUGUCCCGGUUCCUAUGUAUUAGACAUGGAAGCCUCCCCUGCCACACCCCACCCACAAUCUUCCUUUCCCUUCCAGCAGGAAGUGCCCGCUCCAUAAGACCCUUACAUUUGGACAAUCAAGGUGCACAAUCGUAAGUGACCACAGGCACGCAUCUUGGAAUUGAUGUGCGUAACUGCAUACGGCCCAUCCCAUCUGAAUAAGGUCCUGUUUUCAGACCCCUUUUGCAGUACAGCAGGGCUGCUGAUCACCAUGGCCCCUUUUCCUGGCCUGUUAUGUAUGUGAUUAUAUUUUUCCUGGUUCCUGUGUAUUAGACAUGGAAACCUCCCCUGCCAUGCCUCACCCACAAUCUUCCUUUCCGGCAGGGAGUGCCUGCUCCAUAAGACCCUUAUAUUUGGACAGUCAAGGUGCACAAUUGUAAGUGAGCACAGCCAUGCACCUUGGACAUUGAUUUGCGUAACUGCACAUGGCCCAUCCUAUCUGAAUAAGGUCGUACUCUCAGACCCCUUUUGCAGUACAGCAGGGGUGCUGAUUACCAGGGCCCAUUUACCUGGCCUGUUAUGUGUGUGAUUAUAUUUAUCCAGGUUUCUGUGUACCAGACAACGAAGCCUCCUUUGCCCUACCACACCUACCUGCAAUCUUCCUUUUCCUCCUAGCAGGGAGUGCUCACUCCACAAGACCCUUACAUUUGGACAACAAGGUGCACAAUUGUAAGUGACCACAGGCAUGCACCUUGGAAACUGAUGUGCAUAACUGCAUACAGCUUAUUUUAUUUGAAUAAGGUCCUACUCGAAGACCCCUUUUGCAGUAUAGCUGGGGUGCUGAUCACUAAGGCCUCUUUUCUUGGCUUGUCCAUAUUCCUGUGUACUAGAUAAGGACACUUUCUCAUACACUCUCUGCUUUUCAACAGGGAGUACUCACUACUUUAAGAUUCUUAUGUUUGUCCAAAGUACAUGGUUUUAAUUGACCACAACAGUGUCCCUUGGACAUUAAUGUACAUAAGGUUCAUCCUAAUUAAACAGUCUUACCCUUUCACCCUCCAUUUGCAGGUUACCAGGGUUGCUGACCCCUAAGUCCCCUUUUCUUGGCUUGUUGACAUGCAUAAUUGCAUUUAUGUGGGUUCUUGUGCCCUAGAUAAGGAUGCUCCACCUCUUUUCAAUAGCGGGUGCCAACUCCUUAUGAUAUUUACAUUUGGACAGUUACUGUGACUGAUUGCAGUUGUCCAUAACCCUAUCACUUCUUGGACAAUUGUACCCUCUUUGGAUUACUUGGGGCAUACCAUUUUCCUCCAAGGCCCCUUCUGGUGAACUAUUAAUAUACAUAAUUGAAAUUUUCAUUGUCUUUGUCAGUAGAUUAAGGUCAUACUCCCUCACCUUUCCUUUGUAGUACAGCAGGAUGUCCUGAUCAACCAAAGUCCUGUUGUUUUGGACUGAAUAUGUGCAAUUACAUUUGCUCGUGGUCUGUGCACUAGAUAAGGAUCCUACCUACUUUCUUACCAUUUUUAGCAGGUAGUCCCCACUUUUCAAGACUCUUUCACUCGGAAUGUUCAUGUGCACAAACACAAUUUUCUAUGCAUGUUCCUGUACCUUUGUUUUAGAGCAAGGGGAUGCUAUUCACUUAAUGCCCCUUGUUUUGGACUUAAUAUGCAUUAAUGCAAUUGUCCACCUCUUCUUCUAGACUAAGACUUGAUUUCCACAUACUCCUCUUCCAUCAGGGGCAUGUUAACUAUGAGUGGACCCUUUUGAAUAUUAAUGUCAUAAUUGUAUUUGUGGACUUGUGUAGUAGAAAAAGACCCUAUGUUCCUACAACUAUGCUUUGGAUUGCUGCUGAGGAGUGCUAACUACUCAUAAUCUCAGCUCUUGGACAAUUAACAUGCAAUGAUAACAAUUACCAAGGGUACUGAUUAAUUAGAUAAGAUUUCUUGAUCCUUUUUGCAUACAUCGGGAUACUGACCCACUAAGGUCCCUUGUACUGUUAAUGUGCAUGUUUGUAAUUAUACAUGUUUCAGUGGGAUAUUAUGCCCUUGUACCCUCUUUGUAUUACUGCAGGGGCUGCUGACUACUCAAAACUUCUCCUGGGACUGUUAAUACUUAUAAUGGCAGUUAUCAAUGGUUUUUCCUCUGCCUGACCUUGUUAAGCAAGCACCCCACCCCACUCCACCCUUAGUUCCCGUGGCAUAAUAAAGUAUAAGCACUGCAGUAUUCCAUGUACUUGUCCAUCAAACAGUGGUCCAUACUCCUGCCCCUUUUGCAUUGCUCCAGUAUGUAAAAUCACGGGUAGCCAUGGUGUCAUGUUUUACAUACAAGGUCUUCCUCGCCCUGCCCCUUUUGUGCCCUUGACCCCUUUUUACAGACUAUUGUUCACAAUCUCAGGUGCCCACAUAUCCAGCUAUUAGAUAAGAUUGUGUUCUCUCCCUCCUCCCUUACCCCCACCGUGCCCCUUUUGCCUCUUUGCUGGAUAAUGUUGACCGGACAAGGCCCUUUCUCUUAGACUUAAAAAAUUCUCAGUGGCACUUUCCUUGGUCCCAGCCAUUAUACAUGAACCCCUCUACUUUCGCAUUGCUUCUGAGUACUGUUGACUACCCACAGCCCCUUCUGGGUUAUUAAUGAACACAGUACUGAUUGUCCCAUUUUUCAGCCCAUCAGUCCAAGAGCUCCCUACCACUUUGAUGUGUUUGUGCAGUGUUGACUUUGAAAAGCAGGCCUGGACUAAGUGGAUAAGCCUUCAGUCUUUUUCUUUCAUUUAUUAAUGAUCCCAGUUUCAAUUAUUGUCAGAUUCUGAGGACAAGAACCAUUCUUGCCCACCUCUGUUACUGCUUUACUGUGCAGAGUACUCAAGGCAAGUCAGACCCAGGAAGCUGGAUUGCCAUCUUUUAUUUUGUGUUUCUAGUGCACACUAUCUAAUUGCCUCCCCAGGAAGGAAGGUUGGCACUUCCUCUACAUUCUUCUUUCCAGAGAAGAUUGCCUGGUUAAAGACUCUCUUGUCAUCUCUUUUGUAUAUUGUUAUUGUAAAGUGCCAAAUGCCAGGAUACAGCCAGAAAAGUUGCUGUUAUUAUUAUUUAAAAAAAUUUUUUUAGGAAGAUCUGGAUUGCAAGGUGGACUCAAUAACCUGGUCAUUAUUUUUUUGAAGCCAAAAAAUCCAUUUAUACUAUGUACCUGAUGACCAGUGUCAUUUUAACUGAGGGUGGUGGGUCUGUGGAUAGACCACUGUGACUUGCUGUUUUAAUAUUAUCAAAGGCGUUCUAGAGUGGAAAUCUUAAGACCAGUAUCUUUGUGUGGGCUUUACCAGCAUUCACUUUUAGAACUACCUACAUUUUAUAAUCCUUUAAUUUCUUCACCUGGAGCACCUGCCCCUACUUAUUUCAAGAAGAUUGAAGUAAAACGAUUAAAUGAGAAAACGUAUGCAGAGGUGCUUUUAAAAAGGAUAUGCCACCUUUUUGAUUAUUAUAUAAAAUGAAGCAUUUAAUUAUACUAAAAAUUUGAAGUAGUUUGAAGUACCACACUGAGGUGAGGACUUAAAAAUGAUGGAACCAGUUCCCUGUUUUAUAAGAGAAAUAAGCCAAAAUUAAAUACUCUUUUGGAUAAAAUUUCAAAAGUGAGAUAGCUGCCUAAUAGAAAUGAAUAAUAUCCCAGCCACUGGUGUACAGGGUGUUUUGUGGCAAAGGAGUAUGUAAUACGGAACUGCUCAAGCAAAUAACUAGUCCUUACAACAGCAGUUCUUUGUAAUAACUGAAAAAGAAUACUGUUUCUCUGAGAAGGAUGUCAAAAGAUCGACCCAGCUCAGGGAGCAGUUGGCUCUACUAGCUCCUCGGACAGCUGUAAGAAGAGUCUCUGGCUCUUUAGAAUACUGUAAGUACUACUUUGCAGCUAUUAAGUAAUCUUUUUCCUAUUCUAUUUUCUUUCUCUUAGAUACCACCUAUAGAAAAGUCAGAGGGUCCAGAUCCCAUUGAAGAUACCAUGUUGCAUGUGUCCUUAGUAGUCAUGCUUCUUUUGGCUCCUCUUGGGCAUUCUGAGUAUGUGAGACCUGAAGACUGCAAACAGCUUUAAGAGGCUCCAAAUUCAGCAGAUCCUUCCCUUUGAGAAUCUGGCCAAGCUCCAGCUAAUCUACCUGGAUGGGUUGCCCACCACCUGGAGAAAGAGAUCUUCCUCAGAAGAAUAGGCUUGUUGCUUUAUACAGUGUUAGUGACCCAUUCCCUUUGACGAUCCCUAGGUGGAGAUGGGGCAUGAGGAUCCUCCAGGGGAAAAGCUCACUACCACUGGGCAACAACCCUAGGUCAUGAGGUUCUGUCAAGACACUUUCCUGGUUCCAGAUAGGAAGAUGAAGUCUCAGAGACAACCACCACAUGUCAAGGAGAACAUGGACAAUUGUCACAUCAGUGACACUGAUCACAUGGGCAAAUCAUUCUGUUCCAUCUGGUCCCCAAAGUCUCUCUUAAAGCCUUACGGAAAAACUUUGCUGAUCAUUUACAUACUUCAAGAUGGUUUGGGAUGCCAUGGGUUACAACACAACAAGUGAGAGCUCUUCAAAUCGUUCCUAUCUGCCAAAUCAUUAUCCUUCCUACAAGCAGUGCAGAGAGCUGAGUCUUCAACAGGUCCAAGAAAUUUGAACAUAAUGAAAGAAGUCAGCCUUCCUACCUGAAGAUCAACAUACAUGCCUGGCAUUCUAGCACUUAAGGAUAGUGGAAUGAAGUAAAUUUUUGGUGUUGCAGUCCUGUGAGGAUCACUUCAAAACUGUUAUAACAGCUGUUUUUUGGGAGCCGGUGUUGGAUAGGUAUCUUGUCUCUUCUGCUACUUACUACCUCUGGAUGUCUGCAUUUGCUUAUCUCUUGCAGUCGUGUGUAUUUCUUUGUCUUUGUUCUUUGUUCUCUUUGUUCUUGUUUCUCUAUAUUUCUUCCUUGUCUUUGUUGUUUGUUCUCUAUCUAAAGUGUGUCUUACCCAUUUCCAUGUUUUCUCUUGCUAAUUUCUUUCAUGUGUGCCUUUGCCUCAUUUUCUCUUGUUCACAAAGAGUGGUCUGUGCCUUGUCUUAGACAUACGUCUCAUUUUUCAUUUUGUUGCUGUUUCUCUUUGCUCUCCUAGAUGUGGCUGUUCUUUCACACUUUAUUUCAUGUCUCCUUUUGGGUCACAUGCUUUGUGCUUUUUGUCUGUUUCUUGUUCUACCUAUCUCUCCUUUCUCUGCCUACCUCUUUUUUCUCUUUGUGAACUGUGACUAUUUGUUAUCCCUUCCCCUUAUUUGUCGUAAAUUUCACCUUUUUCUGAGUCUGACCUCCUUUCUGCUGUUUCUACUUUUUAAUCUCACAUUUCUCAUUUCUACAUUGCCUUUCUGCCUCUCUUGGGCUAUUUUCUCUCUUUCCUCCCCUGUGUUCCUCGGUGUCUCUUGCUGUUUGUGAUUUUCUUUUCAGUUUUAAUCUCUGUUUGCUUGUGUUUCUUCUCUGCUUCUUCCCUUUCUACUCACCUUUGAGUAUUUCAGCCUCAUUAUGAGUCUGUAUCCCUCUCUUUGAUUUCAUGUAUUCUUCUCUACUUAAAUAUUUCUUUGCAUAUGUACAUGUGUACAUGUAUGUGUAUCAUGUGUGGCAGAGGGGCUUCCUAACCCCUGCCUGAUAGGUGCGGAACAUUGGCUAUCAGAAGUAAGCAUUGUGGAGUGGUUUCAUAUGCCAGGCUGCCAUGUGAGAUGAUCCAAGACCAAAACAAGUUUUACUGCAAGACUGCAGUAAAACCCAACACUCAAGUAGGACAGAAGGUGGAAGGCUCAUAUGGAUAGAAGGCCCAAAGUAGAAGACAGACGGUUUGAAACUUGAGACUCGAGGAUUAACAUGGAAAGCCCAUGUUCCAAGAUAGAUAGAAGCCUCUGUCCUGAAACCAACAAAAGCCUCAAGAGCCAAGGAAACAGAGGGUGGCCUGAAUUGGACAGAAGGCCUGAGUUGGAUGGAAGAUUCAAGUCUUGAGUUAGAAGGCUUAAGACCUGGGAUAGGACACAUACGUGGAAGACCUGAGACUGAGACUUGUGACACAAGGCCAAAGACCUAAGAUUAGCCCUGGUUUGUAGGUAGAAGACCUACAACCCAAGGUUGGAAGGCUCCUGACACAAAGCCUACCUAGAUGGAUAGAGGACCCAAGUGAAACAGAUACCUCAAGACUAAAGGCCAGAAUCUGGAGGCUCAUGACCCAGAACCCAGGAAGAUUAGAAGCUUGAAGACUCGGGGAAAUCCCAAGAUGAGAACCCUAAACACCACCUCUUUUCUAUUGUUAUACUUCUUACUCUUAGAUAUUUCCAGUUCUCCUGUUUCUCUUUAAGCCUGAUUCUUUUGAGAUGUACUUUUUGAUGUUGCCAAUUACCUUAAAGGAACAUAUCUUUAGGUUGACAGUAUUAUGCCUGAGCCAGUUUUAAAUCACAGUUUUUACCUCUUUGUUAGGCUUUAGUGUUUUGUAAACUUCUGUUUCUAUUCACAUCUAUUCCACUUGUGAGAGACACCAAAAUCCAGCCAGUAUCUAAUCUGGCUUAUGUUAUUCCCCUCAGGAGCAAGCAUUCAUAUAGGUGAUACUAUAUUUCAGUCUUCCCUUUAAACGUCAGAAGCCCUAGACUGAUGAGAAGAUAAAAUGGUCAGGUUGUUGGGGAAAAAAUGUGCCAGGCUCUCUAGAGAAAAAAUGUAAAGAGAUGCUCCAGGUCAAUGAGAAAAAUUAGACAAGAAAUAGAUAGAUAUGCCAGACUUCUGAGAAGCACCUGCCAAGCAACAGCUUCCAUCUCUGAGCUUAGGUGAGGAGGAUUCCUGGGGUUUGGGAUUUCUAGUGAUGGUUAUGGAAAGGGUGACUGGGCCUGGGACAAAGUGAGGUCCCAAGGAGAACAGCCUGAACUCCCUGCUCAUAGUAGUGGCCAAAUAAUUUGGUGGACUCUGCCAACCCUAUUCCUGGGUUUAAUACCCAUCUCUAGGCUUAAAGAUGAGAAAACCUCGGACUAUUGGCACAUUUAAUAUUUCCCUGAUUUUUUUCUUCCCGUUUAUGUGGGAAGUUGAUUUAAAUGACUGAUAAUGUAUAUGAAAGCACUGUAAAAUAGAAAAACCAAGGCGUGCUCCUUAAUAGUGUAUUGGGAAUCAUGCACAGUUAACAUUUGAAAGUGCAGUGUAAGUUGUGAAGCAUUAUGUAAAUCAGGGGUCCACAGUUUUUCUGUAAGGGGUCAAAUCAUAAAUACUUUAGAAUGGUUUCUGUUACAUAUUCUUUUUUUAAACAACCUUUUUAUAAGGUUAAAAUAAUUCUUAGCUUUUGAGCCAGUUGGAUUUGGCCUGCUGUUCAUAACUUACCAGCCCCUGAUGUAUUAUUUAUUAUUCAGAGAAAAUGUCUGAAUACUACUGAUUUCCUUUUCUGUGUCUGCCCUGUGCUUGGCACUAAAAAUGCAAUGAUUAUUUGUGAUCACAUCCAGGUGACCUGAAGAAAAAUAGUGAAUGUGCUUUGUAAACUAUAAAGCACUUGUAUUCUAUGGUGAUAAUCACUGGGGAUACAAAGAAAGGAGCAAGCAAAAAGGAUCUAGUACUAUGCAGACGCUAGGAAUUAAGUGUUUGAUAAAUAAAUAAAUUGUAUGUAUGUUGAGGCUAAUUUGUUUCUGCUGCUCUGGUGAUUUUGACUAAAAAUGCAGUAUUCCAGGUAUCAGAAAUGAAAACACAUGGAAACUGCUUUUAAACUUUAAAAUAUGCUGAAUACAAGGGACUAAGCUUAUUGUGGUCACCUAUAAUGUGCCAGAUACCACUCUGGGCACUAGAGAUCACAAAGGGGAAAAAAUGUUCUCGUAGAACAAAAAGUUUCAGAAAGGUGCAUAUUAAAGUGCUUUGUAAACUAAAGCAUGAUACUGAUGUCAAUAGGCUACAUAUUUAUGAAUGAAUGAAUAUUAACUGCCUCUUACAUACCAGCUAUUGUUUUGGGUACUGUGAAAUACAAGAUUAAUUCUCCUAUGUAAUAGGAGGAAAAUUUAUCCUCUAUACUAUUUAGAUAUAAGGAAUGAGAUAUUGCUUAAGCAAUCAAGACUUCAGCGGUGAGGUCAAAUUAAAUUAUUACUGGUGUAUUUUCCCAGGUCACCCGGGAAGAGGUAGUAUGAGGAAAUGAAAUAAUAGAUAUGAGAUCCAGACCAAAAGUCACUUAAUUAAGCUUGCGAAUAUGGUCUCAAAAUUAUAAGGCACCUGUAAAUGUAAAAAAAUCGAUGUUUUCUUUAUGAAUAAAACUUUCUGUAAGAUAGGUAUUGUCUCUACAAAAUUCUCAUUGUAUACUUAAACCACAAUGAGAAGGGUUCUAUAAGUAGUUAUACAAAUUAAGGGCUUACUUGUUAAAUGGAUCAAUUUUGAUUGCCUACUAUGUUAACUCACUGUUAAAGGCACUGAAAAUUUAUCAUAUUUCAUUUAUCCACAGCCAAAAAUAAGGCAAUACCUAUGUUAGCAUUUUGUGAACGCUAAGGCACCAUAUAAAUGUAACUAUUGAUUUUCUCACUUGGUGCUGAGUACUAGGUUUAUAAAAUUGUAUGACAGUUGUUAUAUUGUGCAAAUAAAGCAGGAAAGUUUGAGUAACAAUGAUUAACUUUUAAAUAUUCAUAUGCAAGGGAUUGGUUAUCUGAAGAAUACCAGUAUAGUAGUUAACGAUUAUGUGCCAGUCUCAUUGCUAGGCACUGGGGAUGCAAAGAUAAACCAUCUUUAUGUGUUCUGGGUAGCAGAAGAAAGUAUGUGUAAAAUCAAUUUAUAAUUUCUAAACUGCCACCCAUAUAUAAGCAAUAUCUGCUGAUGAUCAUUGAUUACUCUUAUCCUUAGAGAUAACAAUUGGGGCACAAAAAUUUAUUACCAUUAUUGAACGUACAACAGAAACCUACGUGUAAAUUUACAAAGUCUACAGUUCUAUACAGAUAGGAGUGAACUACUGGUUUACUGAAUGGUGAUUACUUUCUGUGGAGCUCAGAACUACAUGUCCUAGGAUAUAAAAAUGAUGUUAUCAUUAUGGAGUGCUCACAGAAGGAAAUGAAGUAAUUAAUAGGUGUGAGAUGCAGACCAAAAGUCACUUAACAGGCUUAUUUAGUGAUGAAAGCAUGGGAUAAAUGGACUUGUAUAAGGCAGUGUACUAAGCUAAGUAGAGAAAUAAAGUCCUCUCCAGAAGGAUACAUGCUCCCUGGCCUGACUGAAGAGAUGGAAAUUUUUUGUAAAAAGCAAGGUAUUGUAGUCUUCCAUCCAGUUUCUUAAAUUCUGGUGAUAGAAAUGAAUUAGAACCACCUUGGCCUGGCUUACAGGCAGUAAAGGAGUAAAAAUAAAGGCCCCAGGUUUGCUUUUUGAUUCAUUUGAUGAACAAAGCAUCUUUUAUGUGGAAUAUACCAUUCUGGGUCCUGAGGAUAAGAGAUCACUGACAGCUGAAGAUAGAAGUAUAUCUUCGGUUUGAUUGUGUAAAUAUUUCAGUGCCUAUUCUCUGCAAGGCACUAUGCUUGGUAAAUUAGUAAACUAAAUAGGUCUGGCCCAGAAGACCCACUCAAUUGCCUUUGAGAUUAAAAAAAAGAAAGAAAAAGGCAAGUUUCUUUCAAAAUAAAGAGACAUUUUUCUUAAGUUUCAGGAAUCCCUCAAAUCACUUGCUCAUUGGCUUAGUUUGAAGCCAGGAGACUGAUAAAAGGGCUCAGGGUUUGUUAAUGUUCAAUUCAUUAAUUAAACAUUCUGUUCUUAUUACAGUUAAAUGGUUCAAAAUUAAACAACUAGUUUUAAAGGUAUUUGUUCAUUGACCUGGCUUAGAGACAGGAAGACAUUUGAGCAACAAAAAAGAUCCUUUUACAAUUACCAUAUUUAGUAAAAAUUUAUUAAAACUGAAUAAAAUGCUGUUCUUAAGUGCUUGAAAGACCCAAACCAAAAUGCACUUUAUCUCAUCUUAUGGUGGAAACAUAAGAAUAAAUUCUAUAAGAGAUUGCAUUUCUUUAGUUGAGAAAAAACUUCAUUGAGUGGCUGUGAUACGUUCAAUGCUAAGGAAAAAUUAAACAGAUCAUCUUUGGCAUGCUCUGUAGAGUUGGAAUAAGAGAGGGUGUUUUUUAUUUUUUCAUUCAUACGAAUAUUGAUGAAGAUGAUAUUAAAUGCUAAAUGAAACAUAUCUGCUCCAAAAGGCAUUUAUUCUGACUCGGAGAUGCAAGAAAAGCACAAGUGAUAAUCUACGUCAAACAGAAGUGACUGUUACGUCAACCUCUGUGCUUAAAUCCUAGACAGAAAAAAAAGAUCAUGACUAAAAGACACUUGCUUAUUAAUUGGCUUGGAGACUACAAUACAGGAGAAAGGUUGGUUUAUUAUUUUUUUUAAUUUAUUCAUUCAUUCUACAGAUAUAUUUGGGUGCCAGUAGUACUUGGUAUAAGGUUUUUGGUAGGUUCUUAUUUGGCCCCAGAGACAUGGGGAAAAAAAAAAAUGCAUGUUCCCAGAGAACGCCUGAUACUAUCCUUUUGGCCUGUUUUCUUGUUAGGGGCAUGGCUUAGUCCCUAAAUAACAUUAUGUGGUUUAAUUCCUACUCCAUAUCUCUUCUACCACUCUGGCCACUACAAUAAGCAGGUAGCUGGGUUUUGUAGUGAGCUUGCUCCUUAAGAUGCAGGAACUCUCCUUAUAAUAGACUGUUGAUUUUCUAGCCCAUCCCUCAUGAAAAAUGACUGACCACUGCUGGGCAGAAGGAGGGAUGAUGACCAACUAAUUCCCAAACCCCAGUCUCAUUGGUACCAGCCUUGGGAACCACCUAUACCUGAGGCACAGUUGGUUUUGAAGUGCAUUUACAAGAUUUGUCUGUCUUCAGUUUUUACUUAUUACGUGCUGACACAUGCAUACACUGCCUAAAUAGAUCUCUUUUAGAAACAAUCUUCAGAUAACACGUGGCAGAAUGGAGAUGGAGACACGAUUUCUCUUGCAACAGCUUCUCAACUUAUAUCUUAGAAAUGUUCUCCUUUUUAAUCAUUAAAUUUUCUCAAGAAGGGCAUUUUAUAGUAGAAUAAUAUCAGUGGAUGAAAAGAGCUUAACAUUUUACCAUGCUUAAGUUUUAAGAAUAAAAUAAAAAUUGGAAAUAAUUGGCCAAAAUCGAAAGUUUUUUUUAAAGUUCUCUAAAUGUAGGCCUAACUGGGCUUUGACCUUUUCCAUUUUUAAAUCACUCACAGAGGGUGGGACAGGAGGAAGAGUGAAGGAAAAGGUCAAACCUAUUUCUAAGGGCAACCUUCCUUUGUUCUGAAUUGGCCUUAAGAACAUUAGCUGCUCAAGGUCUAAAUUGCUUCAUGCAGUUCCAAUAACUGAUAAUUGUUGAGAUGAGGACAAAAUUCUUUGUCCUCACUAGUUUGCUUCACAUUUUUGAAAAUAAUUAUUUUUGUCCAGUUGCCUAUCAAAUAAACCUUGUGUUAGGUAAGAAUGGAAUGUAUUAAGUGGAUCAGUGUGACCCCUCUAUUGUUCAGACUUUCUUAAAGCUGAAGCCAAAAUUGCUUCAAAGGAAGGCUUUAUUGUUCAUUGUAGUUCAUACAUACUUUCAAAGCAUCUAAACUGUAGUUUCCAUGGCAAGCCAAUUACAUCCAUAAGUGGAGAAGGAAAUUGAUAAAUGUCAAAGUAUGAUUGGUGGAGGGAGCAAGGUUGAAGAGAAUCUGAGGUUGAAAUUUUCUGGUUUCCAUUCUGUACAUUUUUAGACAUUAGAUUUGAAAUAUUAAUGUUUGUCUUUUAAUGUGUGGUAUCACCUGGACUCAGUAACAUCCCUUUCUUCAGGUGGGGAUGGGGAAUGCAUUAUUGGAAAAUGGAAAGAAGAAAGUAAAAGCCUUCCUUUCACAGUUUCUGACAUCACUACCACUACUGAUUAAACAAGAAUAAGAGAACAUUUUAUCAUCAUCUGCUUUAUUCACAUAAAUGAAGUUGUGAUGAAUAUACUUUUAUGCAGACACAAGGAAUUAAGUGGCUUUAUCACUGCCCUUCAACCUGAAAGAGAAUUUAUUCCAGAAUGCUAAGAAAUGGAAGACUCUUGAAUUUGUGAACUGAUUUGAAAUGCAGAAUCUCUUUUGAAUCUUUGCUGUUUUGAAGACUGAAAAACAUUGUUCAGCAUGUGUGACCACCAAAAAGCAAUCUUAAGCCAUCUAGUUGUCACAACUGAAGCAAACUGGGGAGUUGGUAGCUACUGUAAAAUAAAAUAUACUGUUUUGAAAA